rnacentral:hammerhead_ribozyme from 1 species
AUCAAGCUGACAUGUCCCAAAUAGGACGAAAAGCGCGUCCUGGAU